rnacentral:rRNA from 1 species
AUGGACCCCACCUCACGCCCCGCCGUCGUCAUCGACAACGGCACCGGCUACACCAAGAUGGGGUUCGCCGGGAACGUGGAGCCCUGCUUCAUCACCCCCACCGCCGUCGCCGUCAACGAGUCCUUCUCCGACCAGACGAGGGCCACCGCCAAGGGGAACUGGCUGGCGCAGCACAGCGCGGGCGUCAUGGCCGAUCUCGACUUCCUCAUAGGGGAGGAGGCUUUAGCCCGGUCCCGUUCCAGCAGCACAUACAGCUUGAGCUACCCCAUUCGCAACGGCCAGGUUGACAACUGGGACACCAUGGAGAAGUUCUGGCAGCAAUGCAUUUUCAAUUACCUCAGGUGUGACCCAGAAGAUCACUAUUUCCUGCUGACCGAGAGCCCACUGACUCCUCCAGAAACCCGGGAGUACACUGGGGAGAUCAUGUUUGAGACGUUCAAUGUGCCUGGUCUGUACAUAGCGGUUCAACCCGUCCUUGCCCUAGCCGCAGGAUACACAACAACCAAGUGUGAAAUGACAGGUGUUGUGGUUGAUGUGGGUGACGGAGCUACCCACAUUGUUCCUGUUGCUGAUGGGUAUGUCAUUGGGAACAGUAUCAGUUCUAUCCCACUUACAGGCAAGGAUGUUACCCAGUUUAUUCAGCAACUUAUGAAGGAAAGAGGUGAACACAUUCCACCCGAAGAAUCUUUUGAUGUAGCAAGGAGGGCGAAGGAAAUGUACUGCUAUACAUGUUCGGACAUUGUGAAGGAAUUUAAUAAGCAUGACAGGGAGCCCUCAAAGUACAUAAAACGCUUGACUGGCAUCAAACCAAAAACGGGUGCUCCGUACACCUGUGACAUUGGAUACGAGCGCUUCCUGGGCCCUGAGAUAUUCUUCCACCCCGAGAUUUACAACAAUGACUUCACCACUCCUUUGCAAGAUGUUAUAGACAAGUGCAUCCAAUCAUCCCCAAUUGACACAAGGAGGGCUCUUUAUAAGAAUAUUGUCUUGUCUGGGGGUUCAACUAUGUUUAAGGAUUUCCACAGAAGAUUACAGCGGGACCUGAAAAAGAUUGUGGAUGUACGGGUCCGUGCAUCUAAUGCUCGACUUGGUGGAGAUGCGAAGGCUCAACCCGUGGAAGUAAACGUGGUUAGCCAUCCAAUUCAAAGAUAUGCGGUUUGGUUUGGCGGAUCGGUGCUUGCUUCUACAGCAGAAUUCUACGAGGCUUGCCACACAAAAGCAGAGUAUGAAGAGUACGGUGCAAGCAUCUGCCGAUCAAAUCCUGUUUUCAAAGGGAUGUAUUGA